ensembl:lncRNA
CCUUUGCUGCGACCGCCAUAUUUCUUCUUUUCCCGAGGUGGAAGCUUAUUAAUAUUGGAUUUCUUUGCCCGUGUGGUUCUUUCUGGAACAUUUUCCAGACCCCAACCAUGCCUUAUGGCAUAUUUCUUGGAAAAAAUUACACCAAAAAUUCAUAAAAUAUUUUUAAAAACCUAAACUUUCUUCUAGUAUUUUCUUGACACCUUCUCAGUAUUUUACAGAUACUUGGGGCUAUUUUAAGGCAAUUUUCCAUUUUAAAGGACGUUUUCUUUGGAAUGAUUUUUGGUUGACUCCUCUGGUUUUUUGUGGUUUCUUUUUCUUUUUCUCCUCCUUUUCUAUAUUUUUUGCCCAUCGGGGCUGUGGAUACCUGGUUUUAGUGAGUAUAUAGCUAGGUGGAUAGAUAUAUUAUUAUUGUUAUUAUUUUUUACCCAACGGGGUCAUGGAUACCUGCCUUUUAUUUUAUUUUUUUUAAACUUGCCCAUCGGGGCCACGGAUACCUGCUUUUAAUUUUUUUUUCCCCCUUAGCCCAUCGGGGCCUCGGAUACCUGCUGUGUACCCCCUCUCUCCCUAACCUUCUGGCCCAUCGGGGCAAUGGAUACCUGCCUCUUUUUUUUUUUGUUUUUUUGCCCAUCGGGGCCUUGGAUACCUGCUCUAAUUUUUUUUUUUCCUUGCCCAUCGGGGCCUCGGAUACCUGCUUUAAUUUUUUUUUCCUUGCCCAUCGGGGCCGCGGAUACCUGCUUAGAUUUUUGUUUUAUACCACCCAUCGGGGCUUUAUAUGGUUGGAAAAGUGUUGGGUUUUGUGGUUCCUUGUACUAUCUGGAAUGUCUACAAAAUUUUGCUGCUAAUCGUUUGUGUUGUGUGAGUGGACCUACGGCUUUGGUUGGGAGAUGACUUUGCAGUUAGGCUAGAGGGUUAGUUAGGCUGGGGAGGAAAGAUGGCGGCCACUUCAGAUUUGCCGCCCAGCUUGGCUGAGGGGUAGCUGUGCUAAGUAUCACUAGGAAGGUAAGAUGAAUAAUGUGACAAGCAAAGGAAAUGGUAUGCAUUGCAUGAGUUAAAUGUUUUGAAUGAGCUGACUUGGGUCAUGUUAGGAGCUUGGCAUGAAUUGUGGUAUCAUGAGGUGGGAAAACAUAGGAUCAUCCUAUGUCAUAUUACAAGGGUCUAAUGGAAAAUGAGCGGGAGAAGAAUUAGGCGCAGUGUUCAAAAUGGCGAUUUUGACCUUGCAGCAUUGCUUAGCAUGGCUCUCUGCUUUGUUAGAGUGUUCAAAAUGGCGGAUCCAUUUUGCCGCAGUGUUCCAGUGGCGGGAAGCCACAUCAUGGGUGUCUUUGUUCUAGUGUGCAGCAUGGCGGUAGAAAUAUUCUGUUACAUAGUAGAAGAUGGCCGCUUAAGUACUUGCCGCAGUCUAAAACAUGGCGGGCUUUUGUCUCUGCCGUGUGCAUUUCCUGAUAGGUUUUGCUGCAGGGACAAUAUGGCUGACCUUGUCAUGUGGAUAUCAUGGCAGUUUGUCACGUGGAUAUCGUGGCAGGGGUGUUUGACCGUUACAUUCUUGGCGGGCUUUGCAUCAGGAGGGCCUGCCGCAUUGUUAAAGAUGGCGUACUUUGCCGCGGAAAAAGUGAAAGGAGGGAUUGGCAGCGUUAGAUUGCCGCGUGCCCCACCCAAUCAGAAAGGGUGGUAGAAUUGGUCACAGCCAGUUAGUGGAGGAUGGAGUUAGAUGAGUUAGCAUAGCACCUCACUGCCGUCUCUAAUCAGCCAGUCAGGACUGGCCACAUUUGUACUAAUCUCAGUGGGUGGUACCAAAGUCUUUCCAAGGACAUUUGGCCUUUCCACUUCCUCCCUCCCUCUCACUGGCUCCCUCCCCUCCCUCACUGCCACUUGCAGUGCUGGAUAUUAGGUUGUGCAGGCAGAACCUUACGCCAUUCCUCUGCAUUGGUGCCGUGGCCAAAGCCCUUCCCCCACUUCCCCCUCCCCCGCCCCCUGCUCUUCUGCGCUGUGGCCAGGGGCAGUGCUCCAUGCCUGCCUAAGUGUGAACUUGGCGGUGAGUCGUGGCAAGGACCAGAAUGGAUCGCAGAUGAUCGUUGGCCAACUGUUGGCAGAAGAGGAAUCCCUGCCUUCCUCAAGAGGAACACCUACCCCGUGGCUAAUACUGGGGGAUGAAUUCUGAGCUGGUUCCCCCCCACUCAAGAGGAAGGAUGGAUCAAGUUUAGGUGGAGUGAAGGCUGCACUGGACAGCAUCCAAAGAUUUACCUCAAAAGAAUAGGCCUGUUGCUUUACAGUGUUAGUGACCCAUUCCCUUUGACGAUUCCUAGGUGGAGAUGGGGCAUGAGGAUCCUCCAGGGGAAAGAUUCACUACCACUGAGCAACAACUCUAGGCCAGGAGGUUAUACCAAGAUUCUUUCCUGGGCCCAGUUAAGAAGGUGAAGUCUCAAGACAACCACCACACAUCCAGAGCUCCUGGUUGUUCCCUUCAUAUUUGCCAAAUCAUUAUCUUUCCCUGAAGCAGUGCAAAGAGCAAGAAAUGUGAACACACCAAGGAAGAUCAACGUGCCUGGCAUGCUAGCAUUUUAGAAUAGCAGAAUGAAUGUGUAUUUGUUUGCUUGUCUAUUUCUUCUUUGAAUGUUUUUGGUCUUUCUUGUCUAAAGUAUGUCUUACCCAUUUCCAUGAUUCUCUUGCUCGUUUCUUCUCUGUGUAUCUUUGUCUCAUUUACUUUUUUGUACCCAGGAGUGGUCUGUGUCUUGUCUUGAAUGUCUCUCUCUAGUCUUCUUCAUUUUGUUGCUGAUUCUACUUGCUCUGCUAGAUCUAGCUCUUCUUUCACUGUUCUCUUUGAGCCUCUUGAGUUAUGUGUGCCUUGUGCUCAUUUCUUGCUACGCCUGCCUCUCUUCUUUUUCUCUUUGUGAACUCUGUCACCCAUUCCCCUUGUUGGUUUGACAUUUUACCUUUUCUGAUACUGGCUACCCUUCUGCUGUUUCUACUCUUUAUCGUGCAUAUUUCUCUUUUCUACAUAUUCUUUGUGCCUUUCUUGGGCCAUUUUCUCUUUUUUUCCCCAUGCUUUGUGUGCCCCAGUGUCUCUUUGUUCUUUGUGGUUUUCAGUUUCAGCAUUCAUCUCUGUUCUCUUGGUUCUUCUCUCGUUUUGCCUUUCUAUUCACUUUUGAGUAUUUCUUUAGUCUAUGUCUCCCCCUCUUCGAUUUCAUGCAAUUCUCUCUCCUUGCAUAUUUUUUGUGCUUGUGUGUGUGUGUGUGCUCUUUUGUGUGUUUGUAAAGGCGCCUCCUAACUGCUUCCAGUAGGUGCAGAGUGUCAGCUAUCAAAAUAAGCAUUGCAGAGCUGUUCCUUAUGCCAGGCCACCCUGUGAGAUGAACCAAAACCAACAGAAGGUCCAAGGGUCUAGACUGGAGUUGGAUAGAAGACUCAAGUCUCAGUGAGACAGAAGGCCAAAGACCCAGGAUGGGAUUAAAAAAACCUGUCUUGAAGACCUGUGACCCAAAAGAUGGAAGUGCCCUAGCACGCAUAAAGACCCAGGACUCAAACCUAUCUAUAUAAGACAGAAGGCCCAAGAGAGACAGAUAUUUCAAGACUAAAUUAGAUGGAAACUGGAGGUUCAUGACAGAGAUACCAGGAAAGAAAGAAGCCCCAGGACCAAAGGAAAUUCCAAGAUGAGACUCUUAAACCCCAGCUCUUUUUUAUUGCUAACCCUACUCUUGGACAUUUUGAGUUCUCCCUUCCUUCUUCUCAUGUCUCCAUUUAUAUCUACUUCUUUUGAGAUGUCCUUUUUGAUGUUGCUGUUACCUUUAAAAAAAAACAUAUCUUUAGAUCAGUAAUAUUAUGCUUUGGCCUGUUUUUAUUACAGUUUUGAGCCACUUAUUAAGUUUUUGAAGUUUUAAACUUCCAUUUCUCUUCGCCUCUCCACUUGUGAGGGACACAUAGCUGACAUUAUAUUUCAGUCCCCUCUUUCCUCAGAAGCUCUAGGCUAAUGAGAGAAGGAAAGUAUCAGGUUCAGUUAUUGAGGGGAAACAAAGUGCCAAGCUAAGUAGAGAAAAUGUGAAGAGAUGCUCCACAGGCCAAUGAGAAUUAGACAAGAAAUACACAGAUGUGCCAGUUUGCUGAGAAGUGUGAGCCAGCAACAUGUUACUUAUUUGAGCUUGGGUGAGCAGGACACCUGAGGUUUGGGAUUCUUAUUGAUGGUUAUGAAGGAGGAUUGGGCCUAACACAUAAUGAGGCCCCAAGGAAGGAGUGUGAACUCCCUGCUCAUAGUAGUGGCCUAAUAAUGUGGUAAGCUGCAUAAGUUUUAUGCCUCGGUUUAAUACCCACCUCUAGGCCUAAAGGUGAGAAAAUUUGGGAAUAUUUAGCAGGUUUAAUCCUUUCAUUGAUUUUUUUCCUUUUACCAUAAGGAAAGUUAAUUUUAGUGAUAAUAUAUAUGAAAGCACUGUAAAACACAAAAAAAGCAAGACAUUCUCAUUAAUAAUGUAUUGGCACUCAUGCAUAGCUAACAUUUGAAAAUGCAUUGUCAGUUGUGAAGCAUUAUGUAAAUCAAGGGUUAUCACACCCUUUUUGUAAAGGGUCAGAUGGCAAUUAUUUUAUACUUUGCAGGCCAUAUGGUCUCUCUCUGCUUUUUUUUCGUUUAAAGUGAAUAUGGUCUGUGGGCCACAGUUUAUCACCCCUGAUGUAAUUUGCCAGGGACUGUGUGCUGAAUGAUAUUAAUUUCUUUCUUUGUGCCUGUCCCUGUAUGCAUUAAGGAUGCAAUGAUUACUUAUGGUCAUAUCCAGGUGAUAUGAAGAAAAAUAUAUGAAUGUGAGUUAUAAACUAUUAUGCACUUUAAAAGCUUGUCGCAACUUUCAGAGUUGAUGAAUGAAUAUUACAUGGUAUAUACAUUUCUAGGCACUGUAUAUACAAAGAACAAAAGUGUGAAUAAAGUACUUUCUCAAAAGUAUGAAAUACUGUACAGAUAUUAGGAAUUAAGUCUAUGAUAAAUGAGUAAUUCAUGUAUUUGUGGCCAUUGUGUUUCUGUGGCUCUGAUGAUUUUGAGUAAAGAUGUAGUAUUCCAAGUCACAGAAAAGAAAACAUUGUUCAGUUGCUAAGUCGUGUCUGACGCUUUGUGACCCCAUGAAUUGCAGCAUGCCAGGCUUCCAAAUCCUUAAACUAUAAAGUAUACUGCAAACACAAGGGAUUUAAGCUAUUGUGAUUACUUAUAAUGUGCCAGAUAACAUCCUGGGCACUACAGAUGUCAAAGGAAAAAAAAUGUUGUUAUUAUAGAAUGAUUAAAAAUUUUAGAUUUUAAAGUGCUUUGUACUAAAGCACUGUAUAAAUACCAAUGGGCUAUAUGUUUAUGAAUGAAUGAAUAAGUAUUAAUUUCCUUAUAUAUGCCAGCUAUUGUUUCAGGUACUGUGAAAUCCAAGACAAUGCUCCCAAGUAAUAAGAGGGAUGUUUAUGUCCUAUACUACUUAGACAUAAGGAAUUAGAUAUUACUUAUUUUAAUCAAUAAAGACUUUACUGAUGAUGUUGAGCUAAAUUAUUACCAGUAUAUUUUCCAAGGUAACAGGAAAAUGUAAUGAAUGAGAUUGAGCUUUCUAACUAUAAAAUGCUACAUAAAUAUAAAACAUUAGGUGUUUUCUUUGUGAACAAAACUUAUGUUGAGACAGACAUUUGUUUGUGUGUGUUAGUCAUUCAAUCAUGUCUGACUCUUGUGACCCCAUGGACUGUAACCCACCAGACUCCUCUCUCCGUGGAUUUCUCCACACAAGAAUACUGAAGUGGGUUGUCAUUCCCUUCUCUAGGGGAUAUUCUUGACCCAGAAACUGAACUCAGGUCUCCUGCACUGCAGGCAGAUUCUUUACCAUCUAAGCUAUAGAUGCUCAUUGUGUGCUUGACCCACUAUGAGAAAGGUAGUAUAAAUCUCUCAGUAUACAAACUGAGAGUUUAAAUACUUGGUAAAUGAAUGGGUCAUUAAUAUUAGUUGCCUACUAUGUGAACUCACUGUUAUAGGCACUAAAGAGACACACAAAUUUAUUAUUUUAUUGUGCCUACAGCUGAGAAUAGGCAAUACACAUGUUAAUAUUUUGUGAACUCUAAAAGCACCAUAUAAGUGUAACUAUUGAUUUCCUCAGUUGGUAUGCCUAAUACUAGGCUUGCAAAAUUGUUUCAUAGUUAUUAUACCGUGAAAAAAGUCAGAAAAAAUUUGAGCAAGGAUUGUUAAUUAUUGAACACUUCAAAUAUGAUACAUAAAGGACUAAAUGUCUGAUGAAUGCAAGACUGGAUGAUAAUUAUGUGCCAGUCUCCUUGAUAAGCAUAAGAGAUAUGAAGAUAAUCCAUCUUUACUGUGUUCUGGGCAGCAGAAUGUAAUAUAUAAAAUCAAUUUGUAGGUCUUAAACUGGCAUACAUAUAUAAGCCAUAUCUGCUGAAUGAACACUGAUUACUUACUCUCUCUUAUUCCGAGAGAGAGCAACUAAGGAUGCAAAAAUUCAUUGUCAUUAUUGUUGAACCUGCAACAGAGAUCUGUGUAAAUUUUACAAAGCUUACUGUUCUAUACAGAUCUAAAGAAUUAACUGUUGACUUAAUGAAUGGUUACUGAUUACUUUCUAUCUAUAAAGCUCGGAACUGUGUAUGCUCUAGGAUAUAAAAAUGACUCUCCUUAUCAGAUGGUGUAAAUAACAUGUGUGGGAAUCCAGACUAAAAGUUGCUUAACCAUUGCUCAGCUUAUUUGAUGAUAAAAAUAUGGGCAGAAUGGAAUUGUGCAAGGCAGUAUGCUGAAUGCUGAGCUAGGUGGAAAGAUAAAAUCCAGACCAGAAGGCCACUUGCUCCCUGGCUUGACUGAAGGAAUGGAAUUUUUUUGUUUCUUUGUUUAAAGAGCAAGAUGUUAUCAUUCUCCAUUGGUCUUUUAAAUGCUGAAGAUGGAGGUGAAUUCAGUCCACUCUGGCCUGGCAUAGAGACACUGAAAGAGUAAAAAAUGGUUCAGGUUGGCUUUUAGAUUAAUUUGAUGAACAGUGUCUUUUAUGUAAAAUACAUCAUUCUAGGUCCUGAGCAUAAGAGAUAUGAAAUGGGCCUAGUCUAAAGGGCUUUAGAUAGAUCAAAGAUCAUAACUGAAGAUCCAAAAACAUAUUUGAGUUUUGAGUAAAUAUUUGAGUUCCCGUUCCCUAGAUCCUAUUCCUGUUCCUUGAAUUCUUGUUCCUAUUUUCUUGGUUAAGUCUGGUCCAGAAAACCUAUUGACUUUCCUUGGAAACUUAAAAAAUAGAAAAAAAAAUAUUGUUCUUUCAAUGUAAAAUGAAGAUAUAUUUCUUGGCUCUAGAAAGUAUCAAUGUCAUGUGCUCAUUGACCUAGAUUGAAGCCAGAAGAUUAAUAAAAGGCCUCAGAGUUUGUCCUUUAAUUCAUUAAUAUUCUGUUUUUAUUAUAGUUAAAUGGGUAAGAUGACAAUUAGGAUUAUUAUGGCAUAGAGUCAGGAAGAUGAUAAAAAAGAUCCUUCCUAGAUUUUCCAUAUUUUGUAAAUUAUUCACUUGAAUGAAGUACUGUUCUUAAGUCCUGAGGAGAAUGAAGAGAUUUAAAUGACCUAGACCAAAAUAUACUUUAAUUUCACUAGUUCAUGGAGGACACACAAGAACAAAUUUAAUAGGAGAUUGCAAUUCUUUCAUUAGUUGGAAAAACUAAAGUAGCUGUGAUGUUAAGAUACUGAGAUGGAAUGAUUAAACAGAUCACCUUCUCUUUGGCAUGUUUUGUAGAGAAGGAAUAAAAAAGCUUUUCAGUUAUUCAUACAAGCAUUGAAGAAGGUGAUGCUAAAUGAAAUAGAUCUGGUAAAAAGGUAAUUGUCUUGGAGAUGCAGUUAAAAAAACAUGAAAUGGAGUGAAACUUCAUUGAAUGAGUGUCUAUUUCAAGGCAUUGUGCUAAUUCCUAGACAGAAAACAAAAUAGAUUUUGACUGAAAGACACUUACUUGACUUGGAAACUGGUAUAUAAGAGAAAAGGUUAUUGUUAAUUAAUUUUUAAAAUUUAUUCAUUCAUUCUGCAAGUAUGUUUGAGUGCCUAUUGUAAAUAAGCUCCUUAGCUGGAUUCUAGCUGGGUUCUCUAGCUAGCCCCCAGAGAGAGACAUGAGAAAAUGAAUGCCUUCCCAGAGAACUUAAAAUUUGCCCUUUGGCCUGUUUUCUGAUCAGGCCAUUUCUAAAUGGCUUACUUCCUCAAUAAUAUUAUGUGGUUUAAUUUCUACUCCAUCUUAAGCCACUCUGGCCACUACAAUAAGCAGGGGUUUUUACUGAACUUGCUCCUUCAGUUGCAGGAUCCUUCCUUAUAAUAAAACACUUCAGUUUUCCUAACCCAUCCCUCAUGAAAACUGGUUGUGACCAUAGUGAGCCGAAAGAGGGAUGAGAAGCAACUGAUUCCCAAACUUCAGUCUCGUUGGUACCAACACUGAAGAACCACUCAUACUCAAAUCACAAUUGGUUUUGAAACACACUUACAGUUUUGUCUAUGACAAAUAUACACUGCAUAAGUCUUUUUAAAAAACAAUCCUCCAAUAUUACUUAGCAAGUUUGGAGAUGGAGACAUGAUUUGUGUUUUGCAACAACAGCUUCUCAACUAACAACUUAGAAAUCUUUCCUUUUUCACCAUCAAAACCUGCUUAAGAUAAGCCUUGAAAAUAGCCUAACAAUUUUACCAUGCUUAAGUCUUAAGAAUAAUAGAAAUUGAAAGUAUUUGGCAAAUAUUGGAGGGAAAAAAAAAUCUACAUAUAGGCCCAAAUGGGCUUUGGCCUUUUCUAUUUUUAAAUCACUCACAGAGGGUGGGAUAGGAGGAAGAGUGAAAGAAAAGGUCAAGCCUGAUUCUAAAAAGGGUUGGUCUUAAAAGCAUUGCUACCUCCAGAUCUAACUUGGGGAUUGCUGUUCUUAGUGUAAUUCAAUUUUAAUAACUGGUCACUGUUAAGAUGAGGACAAAGUCCUUUGUCCCUACUCAUUUCUAAAAGUUUGGCUUAAUGGCUAUCAGUUAAGCCUGGGGUUAUAUAAUUAUGGAAUUUAUUAAAUCUAUGUGACCUCUCCAUCAUAAGGUAGUCUUAAAGCUAAAGUCAGUCCACUACAUAGAAAGAGGACUUUAUCAUUCACUGUAAUUCAUACAUACUUUCAAAGCAUCUAAACUUUAAAGUUUACAUGGCAAGACAACAAUACCAUCUGUAAAUAUAGAAGGAAAUAGAAGAAUGGCAGGAGAUAGUUGAUGGAGGUAGCGAAUUUGAAGGUCAUUUGCGGUAAUGUUUGUAGUUUUUCCUUUGUACAUUUUUACUUAGGUGUAAGGUGUAUCUGAUAUUAAUAAUGUUUGUUGUUUAAUAUGUACUAUUAGCUGGACUCAGUAACUCCCCUUUCUCCAGGUAGGGAUGAGAGAUGCAUUAUUGGAAAGGAGAAAGUAACAGUCUUCGUUUCACAGUUUCUGGCAUCCCAAGGCCACCACUACUGAUAAACAAGAAUAACAGAACAUUCUGUCACCUGAUUUUUGUGGCAUAAAUGAAAUUGUGAACAAAUUUUUUUCUUAAGAAGAAGAAAUGGCUUUACAUCUACCCUUUUACCUUAAAAGGAUCUGUGCCAAAAUGCUCUGAUGAAUGGAAGACACACUUGGACUUGUGAACUGAUUUGAAACACAUAAUAUCUAAGCCUUGGUUGUUUUGAAGAUUGAAAAGUCUUGUUCAGUUCGGAUAACCACCAAAAAAGCAACCUAAAGCUGUCUAUAUGUCACAACUGAGACAAAUUGGGGAGUUUGUUUAAUGUCAAAUAAAAAUGUACUGUUUUGAAAGCUUUGUUUUUGAUGCUAAAACAAGUUCUACC